rnacentral:rRNA from 1 species
AACGAACGCUGGCGGCAGGCCUAACACAUGCAAGUCGAGCGCGCCCUUCGGGGUGAGCGGCGGACGGGUGAGUAACGCGUGGGAACGUGCCCUUUUCUACGGAAUAGCCUCGGGAAACUGAGAGUAAUACCGUAUACGCCCUUUGGGGGAAAGAUUUAUCGGAAAAGGAUCGGCCCGCGUUGGAUUAGGUAGUUGGUGGGGUAAUGGCCUACCAAGCCGACGAUCCAUAGCUGGUUUGAGAGGAUGAUCAGCCACACUGGGACUGAGACACGGCCCAGACUCCUACGGGAGGCAGCAGUGGGGAAUCUUAGACAAUGGGGGCAAGCCUGAUCUAGCCAUGCCGCGUGAGUGAUGAAGGCCUUAGGGUUGUAAAGCUCUUUCAGCUGGGAAGAUAAUGACGGUACCAGCAGAAGAAGCCCCGGCUAACUCCGUG